AAUGAACGCUGGCGGCGCGCCUAAUACAUGCAAGUCGAGCGAGAAGACGUAGCAAUACGUUUGUAAAGCGGCGAACGGGUGAGGAAUACAUGGGUAACCUACCCUCGAGUGGGGAAUAACUAGCCGAAAGGUUAGCUAAUACCGCGUACGCUCCUUGGACUUCGGUUCAGGGAGGAAAGCGAUACCGUGGGUAUCACGCUCUUGGUUGGGCUCAUGUCCUAUCAGCUUGUUGGUGAGGAACGGCUCACCAAGGCUUCGACGGGUAGCUGGUCUGAGAGGACGAUCAGCCACACUGGCACUGCGACACGGGCCAGACUCCUACGGGAGCAGCAGUAAGGAAUAUUGCGCAAAUGGGCGAAAGCCUGACGCAGCGACGCCGCGUGGGGGAUGAAGGUCUUCGGAUUGUAAACCCCUUUCGGGAGGGAAGAUGGGACGAGCAAUCGUUCGGACGGUACCUCC
rnacentral:rRNA from 1 species